rfam:Erinaceus europaeus unplaced genomic scaffold scaffold00454, whole genome shotgun sequence
UGCCCUGCCAUUGGGCAAAGAGACACCUCACUGGCGGUGUUAUCUUAUAUCAGUCAGGGGCAGAGACGAUACAGUCCUUUGUUCAUCCUAGCUUGAUGCCUGGAUCAGUGGCCAGAGUUGUUUCAUGUCUGGGGCACAUAG